rnacentral:rRNA from 1 species
UACGUAGGGGGCAAGCGUUUAUCCGGAUUUAUUGGGCGUAAAGAGCUCGUAGGCGGCUGAUCGCGUCGACUGUGAAAACCCGCGGCUCAACCGCGGGCCUGCAGCCGAUACGGGCAGGCUAGAGUUCGGUAGGGGAGACUGGAAUUCCUGGUGUAGCGGUGAAAUGCGCAGAUAUCAGGAGGAACACCGGUGGCGAAGGCGGUUCUCUGGGCAUUACCUGACGUGAGGAGCGAAAGCGUGGGGAGCAAACAGG